rnacentral:lncRNA from 1 species
UUUGUAUACUAUAUAAGUUUCCUCCACAAACAAACUGGCAGCAACACAGGCAGGUUUCAGUGGACACGAGCACAACAGUAUCCAUUUUGACCAACGUGGGUCGACCGCCUCUGACCAAACGCACACACGAAGGUUCCCGGAUCCUACUUGUGGUCCCUGGGCCCACCGAAAAACGCAGACCCUUCGCUAUAUAUAGAACUCGCUCCACGACCAAGAAAUCCUCACAACCACUAGAGAUCUUCAUGUAUAAACAUACAUAAAGCAACGAGGGAGAGAGAGAUCAGGAGGAAGAUAGAGAGCUUACUUUUGGCUUCCAGUUGAGCGAAGACACACUUACCAUUAGUUAGUCCAGCGGAGAAGACGACCAUGGGGAGGACAAGAGACGCCGAAGCGGAGCUCAAUUUGCCGCCGGGGUUCCGGUUCCACCCCACAGACGAGGAGCUCGUUGUGCACUAUCUCUGCCGCAAGACCGCCUGCCAGUGCCAGCCUGUGCCCAUCAUCGCCGAGAUCGAUCUCUACAAGUACGAGCCUUGGGAACUUCCAGGUACUGCACACAUGAAAUAAUAGAGGAAACAGUUCAUGUUACACUAUCUACUGCGCAAUAUGAAACCUUGACAUGGCUGUAAUGCUUGUGCUGUGAGCAGAUAAGGCGUUGUUUGGGAACAGAGAGUGGUACUUCUUCACCCCUCGUGACCGCAAGUACCCGAAUGGGUCGAGGCCAAACAGGGCUGCCGGUAAGGGAUACUGGAAGGCAACUGGUGCUGAUAAGCCGAUCUCACCAAAGGGCAGCAACAGGACUGUUGGGAUCAAGAAAGCUUUGGUGUUUUACUCCGGCAAGGCACCGAAAGGAGUGAAGACAGAUUGGAUCAUGCAUGAAUACAGGUUGGCUGACGUGAACCGCAGCGCCAACAAGGGAAGCCUACGGGUAUGCAGCGAAUGAUAACAUACAAUCUCCUCAAAAGGUGCAUGUAAUUAAUUAUAUAGUGCUGACGAAACAAUUCUUUGGAUUCAUGCAGUUGGAUAACUGGGUUCUUUGCCGGCUAUACAACAAGAAGAAUACCUGGGAGAAGACGAAGAUGCAGAAACAGGAGGAGACAUCCUUUGGAGAGACCAUGCAAUCAGUGGAUGAUGCACUGUCCGACAGCUUCAGGACACCAGAAUCAGAUGUAGAAAAUGAGGUCGUGUUGCCAGAUUUUGAUGAUCUAGGCUACCUAUCCCAAGCUUCUACUGGAGUGCAAGCAUUGAGCGCCUGCAAAACAGCUGCACAUCAGAUGAUCGAGAAGAGUCAGAAAGAAGACAGUGAGUGGUUUAUGGACUUGAAACUAGAUGAUUUGCAGAGCUCCUACACCAACUUCGGAUCAACACCCAUUUCAGAUGCAACGAACCAAGAUUACUACUUCCAAUCCUUUGUAUCUCCAUUGCUGAGGCCAAAUCAUACCAACAUGCGACAGUUCUGAAUUGGAUCAAUGUAAAUAGCUUAGCAGAAUACGACAAUGUAGUAGUUAGUAGAUCAAAGAUCUGUUAUAUCCAAACAUUGUUUCAUCAUUCAGUAUAGGAGGCUGUUACAAGUUGGUGACUGAAUUCAAUCUAAAUUUGGUUUGAGAAACUACUUACUUUUUCUGAUAGGAGCGUCUAAUGACAGGUUUAAGGUUUAGUGAUGCAACUAUUUUCAAAUUCAGAUGGAAAAAAAAUUAAGUGGCACUUUUUAUUCGGUGAAGCAACUAUAGAUUACAAACACUUAGCAUAGGUUGAAAAGCAACUAUUUCCUUACUCAGAUGGAAAAACAUAAGCAGUAUAUUCUAUCACUAAAGAUUUGAUCCAGCCAAAGAUUUUCAACAUUGAAGACUACAAACACAUCAAAUAAGAAGUAAAAAAACCUUUGUUAAAACUUAACAAAGAUGCAUGUUACAUGACUAAGUGUAAUCAGUGCUGCAUUGUCAAGAUUUUUCUUUCAGACCUCCACGAACAUGGCACUGGAUCUCUCAUACAGUGCCACCUAUCUAAUGAAUAAAAGGUGUCAGGCAUCCUAUGCACAUCAAAAAGUCAUCUGAAUGAAAUGAAAGAAAAUAAAAGCAUAGGCAGGUAGCAGCAGAUAAAUAAAGGGACACUGGUUAAGCAAUCCAUUAGUUUCUCUAUUGCUUGAGACACAGAAAAAGAA